rnacentral:misc_RNA from 1 species
GAUUUGUCAUUGCCGCCCAGGCAAAUGGCGCUGCAACUGCAAUUCAAUCCCUCCACUUCCUCCAUCUAAAGCUUCCUUUUCUGGUUUUCUUCUGUUUCUGCUUCUUCUUCCUCUCCCUGGGAUGCUUUAUCAUCUGUCUAAUUAAAACUUUUCUCUAGUCUCCUUCUUUUAGGUACGCAUUUGGCCUUUGUCCUAUGUUUAAAUUUUUAUCUAGUUUUCUGUCAGCAUCUAUAGAUGAAAACUACUCUUUGUGGCUUCAGUUGCUUACUUGCAGAAAGUUUAGGAGGAUUUUUUGUUAGGUUAGCAUGCGCGGAAGUAUGUGAUAACAAGUGGGUGGUGUCUGGUGUGUGUUCAUAUUCAAUACUCUCUUCUUUUU